rnacentral:lncRNA from 1 species
GGCAUAUUAAUAUAAGAAAUAACACAAUAUUUCAAUACAAAAAUAUAUCAAAGUGUACUAUAGUUUUACAAACUAAAUUGAAAUGUCAUUCACUUCAACCAUUACGAUUACAAGAAACUUCAAAUCUUGCUUGAACUUCAAAUCACUACAAAAACUUGCUUAAACUUCAAAUCACUAGCAUCCAAACUCAAGAUAGGAUCUGCAACAGUUCAUGAAACUCAGCGGAUUUCACUACGAUAUCACCUGGCUGCAAAGAGAAAUACACAAUAAGCGACUUCAUCCAAACUCAAAACAUGGAUGAAUAUAGCAUACUUGAUGAAUUUAGUACUACCAGCCAGUUAAGUUAUAUGGUGGAAUAAGACAUGUUAGUUGACAAGAAUAUAUUACAACAAUAACAACAUAAUACACAGUGAAAUUUCACAAGCGGGUUUGGGAAAGGUAGAAUAUACGCACAAGUAAUGACUUAUCCCCAGUUACGCUUGUCAGGGAGCAAAAGGAAAACAAUUACUAUUGUUUAUGUCCAGCCAAAUAAUACAACUUACAGAGUUAAGAGCCUGCUCAAGAAAUACAUCAGUAGCUACCUUUUUGUGUAACUCAAACCAAUUGGGUCUGCGAUGGCCACAAGCCACUACUCCCCUGUACUAAUUUUACUUUUUAAUGAAAUGCUUCAUAUUUCCUUACCAAAAAAAAAGUAACAACAAAUGGGUCCUAGUUAGAUAAAGUCUAAAGAUUAAUUCAUUGGGAAAAGAAAUUAAUUAGUAAUAUCUAUAUGGCUAGAUCUCACAUUAGUUGUACACUGAAAUGUACCUCUAAUCCUUAAUUCUUUGAAGUAUCAAAGUUCCAGAGAAAAAGAUUUUACUUACCAAUGCCAACCACCUUGCUAUGCCUAUAUAACAUAAUUAUAGGUGCAGUAAGUUCUCAAGACAAUGUAAAAUAUUCAUUAAACAACACCAACAACUAUAUAAAAGCUAUAACUUGAAAUGUAAAAGUCCAACUAGUGAAUUAGAAAAUACCAGUUACUAUUCAGAUGAUCAAUUAUAAUUUUUUGAAAAGGCACAAUUACUAAAAAUAAUGUGACCUCUCAAAACUGAACAUGAGUCUAAUGAUGCUUAGGAUUGGGUCUGUUGGGAGAAAUUGAAUUUUGCUUGCAAAAAGAGUCCACUGGCCAUCCAAGAUGUAAUCUUGGCAAUAAUCUUGUCCACUAAGGGUUUAAUUGGACUAUUGUAAGCCUUUUAGGUGUCGUUUAAUACAAAGAUUAAUAAUGUAGGGAUUAGUAAUGCAAGGUUCCUUAGUAAAAUUGUUUGGCACACCUAGAUAUUUGAAACAGAGUUCUCCAACCUCAUAUCCAAGCAUAGUCAAGAUGGUUUCCUUAGUAAAUUUGUUAAUACCUUCAAAACAUACCUGACUUUUCAAAAUGAUGGUCUUCAAAUCAGAAGCAUCAGAAAACAUAUUGAAUUUACCCCUCGAUAGUUGUAGUUGUAUAGAUCUGACAUCUCAUCUAGUAAAUAUAGUAAGUCAACAGCAACAAAGUACUGAUUCAAAACUGAUGUCAACAUCUAGAUGGAAAAAAAUGUUUCAUCAAACUUUCUUAGUUGUAAAUCAGCACAACUACAAAGAAAAAAGACAUUCUUGCAACUCUUCCAAAUCUGUUUGGGUUAAAGGAAUUUUGCAUUUAACUAUCAUUCCAUCUUCACUAACUAUCUAAAGGACAAAAUCAAAUAAAAAAAUACAAUAAACUCACAAGAUUUGUAGAGCGUCGCAGAACUUGAGCGAGUUGUGCAUGACUGCUUAUAAGAGCUUUUAUCUUCUUCAACAAUGCAGCCACAAAUAUUGACACUAUAGCACGAAAAAAUAGUGCAAACUGUCUUAAAGAAAGAUCUCAUCAGAAAAAUGAGAACCAAAUUUAAAAAGAAUAGCUGAAAAGUAGAUGAAACUUACGGAAAUAGCUGGGAAUAUAGACGAAAUCAGGUUCAGUAAUGUGGGAGGAGAUAGUGGUGGGAGUGACGUCUUUGGGAUCGGUGGCAAAAGGGAUGGUUGGGUUUGGGGACAAUUCCAGUUGUUGGGGAUGAUCGUAACAUGUAUACUCAAUAUACUCGAUAUGGUUAGUCAAUCGAUAAAGUGAAACAACCUUAUGGUGCUACUUCUAAUCCUACACAGGCUGAUGACGCGACAAGAAAGAACAGUUCAUCAUCAAACAAGUUGAAAACACCACAUUUCUCCAAUAUCACCACCUUAUAACAUAGAAACAAAUAUCAUAUCUCUCAAAUUUACCAGAUUCACUUACAACUAACAAAAAUCAAUUAAGAAGUUAAUCUAUCCAACCAAAAAAUCAAUUACUAGCAAGUUAUUCUCUAUGUAAACCUUAUUUAAUUAGAUUAUCCAUAUUGAAACCCUAAAGAAUCGAAGUUUAGGGGAAAUCCAAAAAGUACAAUAGUUAUAAACCUUAGAAAGAGCUGAAGCUUCUCCAUGGUGCAGGACGUAGGGCAACGAGCCUAUUGGAGCAUUCUUUUACUCCAAAAUCGGCGAAGAUAUUGCAGAUUUUCUGAAACUAAAAUAGAUUCAAAAUACAAAUCUCAAAACUUUUUACAAACAAUUUGAAGUUGAGAAAAAAAAAAUCAGUUGAUUUAUAGAUUGAAAAUGCAUGAAAAUGAGGAAAAGAGAACUCAUUUUUGAAGCUUUCGAUGUCUAAAUUAAGGAGCAAUUGUUAAAUAGAGAGAAAUUGGGAAGUAAGAGAGGAGAAGAGAAGUAUGAACCAACGAUACCGCCAAUCGCCACCGCCGCCUCCAUCUUUUCCUACUCCGACCACUGUUAUUGUGGAUGAAGACAGUGAUAGCUCCGCCACCAUGGAUUCGCCACCGUGCCGCCUCCAUCACUUCCUACUCCAACCCUAAUUAUCAUAUGAAAAUUGAUCAGUUCGGGAUCGCAGAAAAUAGAAUGAAACUUUUUUUUAUUUGGGGAUUAAAUGAGCAACGAUAUAAAAUUUUAUUUUUUAGGAUAGCGGCGGGUAAUAACCCCACAAAUUCUACUAAAAUUAUAGGGGUUAAUCAAACCUCCGUAAUUUGAUGUAAUUUGUGGGGGUUGAGUUAACCUCCAUUAUAAAACCUCUAGGAUUUAAGUGUUUUUUUGUAGUGGAU